rnacentral:pre_miRNA from 1 species
AAACCAAAUCCAACGGCUGAGAUUCGUCCACGUCAUUAUGAGUUAAAUUUAACUCCAGUAAAAUUUUAACUCCUGAAAUUUUACUCCUAGUAAAAUUUUUACUCCUACGAGUUAAAUUUUAACUCGCGAUGACGUGGACGAAUCUUAGCCGUUGGAUUUGGUUU